UACGGAGGGGGGCUAGCGUUGUUCGGAAUUACUGGGCGUAAAGCGCACGUAGGCGGCUUUGCAAGUUAGAGGUGAAAGCCCGGGGCUCAACUCCGGAAUUGCCUUUAAAACUGCAUCGCUAGAAUUGUGGAGAGGUAAGUGGAAUUCCGAGUGUAGAGGUGAAAUUCGUAGAUAUUCGGAGGAACACCAGUGGCGAAGGCGGCUCACUGGCUCGAUACUGACGCUGAGGUGCGAAAGCGUGGGGAGCAAACAGG
rnacentral:rRNA from 1 species